rnacentral:lncRNA from 10 species
CCCUCUUGUGAGAAGAAUCUCUUUGGUUGCCUGUUAAAGCGGUCAGCCAGCUUGCAACACGGAAGCAGCUUUUAGAGGAAUUAAAACCAAAACAAGGAGCAAAUUCUGGAUUAAAAAGGUAUUAGGGAAACUGCAGAUACCUGAAAAUUCUAGCUCCAUGUUUCUCUUUGCCGGCUAUCUCUGGCUCUUUAACUCUUCUCGAGAAAUGGCACCAACAUCCAUCCAGUUACCGACUAGAAGCCUGAGAAAUCGUCCUUAAUGAUUAUUUAUCCUCUCUUAACCUUUGCCCGUCCAGUCGGUCACACGAUCUUCUCAACUCUGCUUUCCAAGUUUCUCUCAUGCCCAUCUUUUUCCCCCCAAUCCAGCUUCCAGCCUAAUCUCAUUCCCUAAAUUGCACUAGUACCCACUCUGACCGCAGACUCCACUCCCUAUAUUCUUCAUAGAUUAAUAUUUUUACAAAACAAGUAUCAAAUAGGAAACUUUACAAUGGCUCCCUAUUGCAUUUAAGGUGAAUUUCAAACUCCUUUAAGAUAUUUUGUCCUUAAAGAGCCCCAUGAUUCCUGGUUCCAUCACUUGUACAUUUUCUUUAAUUUUCUUAAAAUUCUUGCCACUUUUGCCAAUGCUGUUCUGUCAAGAACACUCUUUCCCUUGGCCGAACUUACUCCUAUGUAUACUGAAGUUUCACUGUACAGAUGAAUUCUUCCAGAAAGACUUAUCUACCCCUAAAGCCCCUGAGUGUCUGCUUUACACUUUCUUAGUGCCCUGCAUUUUCCCCUUGGUAUUCCUUGUGACACUGACUUGUCGUUCAUUGCCUGUUUCUUGAAGUUGAAUAAGGGCAGGAACUACAUCUGCUUUGUUCAUAGCUAAAUUGUCAGCAUCUCGUUGCAAUUUGAAGUAAGUAGUAAAUAUUCACUGGGACAAUAAAGGAACAAAUAAAUGAAAACGAAACAAAUGUUUUGAAUCUAGGCAUUCUUUAUGAAGGUGUGUUGUUGUUUUUUAAAGGUAGCUAACACAUGCUUGCUCUAGUCUGGGUACCCAUCCUGGCUUGAGUGGAAGAGGCUGAAACACCCUUCUCCAGCCAACAACUCCCUCGUUUUCCAAGUUAACCAGACCAACUCCAUUAACCCUCAGUUUACUGCCACUGGGCAAUGUGGCUUAUAUGUGUAGAAGCAUCAAGAAGGAAUGGGCAGAGAGGUUUUUUGUUGUUUGAGGUCAGAAAAUUAUGAAGUGGAACAUGAGAGCAGAGAAUAGGGCCAGCUUCAUGAGCAGGCAACCGGUGCUUAGAAGGGCUGUACAUUUGGUUUAAUGCUCUGCUGUUGCCGUCUUGAAAUGCUUAGGAGUUUAUAUUUGAACUUAUGUUUUGUAAGUGAUGUCUGAUGAGACAAUGGAGCAAUCUUGUGAGCAGAUGUGAUUCAUGCAAUGUGUGUGUCUGUCACUGUUUCUUGCCCCAUGUCAUACAAUGUUCAGGAUGCGCACUAAAUGGCCUCCAUGAACCACUUAUUUUGUAGUUAGGGACCUAAGUACAAAGUGCUCAGAAGGGCUCACCCUUGCCCUCUUGAAAUUAUUAUUAUUUUCUUUGAGACGGAGUUUUGCUGUGUCUCCCAGGUUGGAGUGCAGUGACAUCAUCUUAGCUCACUGCAACCUCUGCCUCCCAGGUUCAAGCAGUUCUCCUGCCUCAGCCUCCCAGGUAGCUGGGAUUACAGGGACCCACCACUACGCCCCCUAAUUUUUGUAUUUUUUUGUAGAGACAGAGUUUUGCCAUGUUGCCUAGGCUGGUCUCAAACUCCUGAGCUCAAGUGAUCUGUCUGCCUCAGCCUUCCAAACUGGGAUUACAGGCUAAGCCAUCAUGCCCAACCACGUUACUAUAUUUUCUAACCACUUACACU